GUGCAUAGUUACAUAGGUUGUGAUCUCGCAUGAAUAACACUUAGAUAAGGAACCAAGGGAGCAAAACGAGUUCUUUAAAAUGACAUUACGACAUUGCCGUAUUGCUGUUGUUUUGUUUCUUAUUUCAUAUCUAGGUAUGUAUAUUUUUUUCAAAAACAUUUAACAAAUGAAGCCAAAUAUCAAUCGUUGAUAAUUAUUUGAUUUUUAAUUAAUAAAACAACUUUAAGUUUGAGAUAAUUUUUGGAAUGCACUAAGUUAACAAUUAUCGUAAAGUUAUGUUGUCAAGACUAAUCGGUAAUGAUGUUUGGUCAUAUCUAAUUUUGAAUCACAGUUCGAAUUGAAUUUAAAGAAUUAAACGAUUCGCUGUUUUCCUUUGCCACCAUCAUAUAUAAGACAUUUAUAAAUAACUAAAAUAGUGAAAGCACAAAAAGCUCGUGUAAAGAGCGAAUGUUCAACAUAUUCAUUUACAUGUAAAAUUGAUUUAUGUGGGUUUUUUUUGUGGAUACUGAGUUUGUUGGUCACUUUUUUAAUCCACUAUUGUCUUGUUUGUUUUGCCACGAUAUAUUAAUUUGAAUUGCGACAAUUGCAUCUGUUCAAUCUUUUGACGUAAGUAAAGGUUGCGCUUAUUUCUCUAUCGUGCUAUCUAUAAUAACCCCCACCGACGGUCUGUUUGAAUAAUUAAAGGUACUAGUAUGAUGUUAAAAUCAGCAUUCACGAUCUUCAAAUUAAGACUAACUGCUUCAAAUUUUUUGAAAAACAUUUAAAAUACAAGCAACAUAGUUGGAAUUUAUAUGGAAAGCGUAUUUUCUAUUAGGAAAUAUUUUUAAAGCGUAUUUUCUUUUUGGCAUAACUUUUAGGAAUUUUGGUCCUGAAUGCUCUUCAACCUCGUACUUUAUUUGGCCUUUUAAUCAGUUUUUGAUUCGAAAGUCUUUUGUAGACAAAACGCGCGUUUGGCGUAAAUAUAGAAUUUUGGUCCUGGUAUCUCUGAUGAGUUUAUUUGCAACCACUGAGUCUAAGGUCAGCUGAACCUUGCACACAUUAAAUCACUAUGCUUGGUCAAUAAUUAUAACAAAUUAUACGUCAAUUGAAUGUUCUCUGACUUAAUGCAGGAUAUGUAUUGACGGAGUGUCCAUUAGGAUGGCGGCAGUAUAACAGUUCAUGCUACGUUCUCAGUUCCAAAAGAUUAAGCUGGUAUAAUGCAGAGGUAAAUAAAUGUACAAACAAGAAUACUAGUCAUGAUUGUCCAUAAUUGAUAAAUUGUUUGAUUUGAAUAGACCACCAAUUUUAGCGCAAUUGGCUCUUAUGUGACAGUUUCCAUUGGUGAAUGAGCAGAGAAAAUCACCAAACGUCGGAAAGAAAACCGACAAUCCUAUUCGAUUCAUAUUGGAAUUGAGUUCACCUGUCUCGUGCACAACCAAUGUAGACAUGUUACUGAUGAAUAAAGUUGUACGUCAUAGACUUCUCAGAAACCAAAGCCCCUGAUUGUCCAUGAUACUACGUUCCAUCGCAUGACGUAGAGAUAAUUAACAAUAAGGUACCGUACGGUCUUAAACAAUGAUCGAAACCCAAAUUCGUAGCGUUAGAUAAAAAAAACCUCUGUGUGAACUUUGCAAUGCAAAUAUAUAAUCAUAACCGUUCAGUCAUACACAUUUAGCUAUGUUUGAAUUUAAAGAGAACAAAAUGAAACAUAAAACCGACAAAAACAGUAUUCAGCGAUCUUCUAUAUUAGUAUCAAAGAAAAUGAUAUAUUUUUGUUCGUUCUGAUGUUUACAGUUUACAAGCUAUUCUUAUGUCGAACUAUAACAUAACAAAUGUAUCCUGUUCACAUUAUUUGUGAACCUGCAUUCCAGGGUUGUUGUGUGUCGAUGUGUACUGGUAUAUUGCCUGUUGUCUUUGUCAUAAACGAGACUGCUGGUGUGUUUUGGUUGAAUUGUUUUCAUUUUGUCAUGCCGGGUCUUUUUAUAGCUUGCUGUACGGUAUGUCUUUGGUCAUUGCUAAAGGCGGUAUUGUUGCCUAGUAUUGUUCAACAUAAUGUAGUUUGGAUUCUGCUGGACUGUUGUCCUGCAGAAAGUUUGGAAAAAUAUUUUUUGCAAACAAGGUUUUGAACUGACAAUCUAUAAAUAUAUAUACAUAACGAUACAAACAAUUGCUAGUGCCGACAAAUGACUGGGUCCGUGUGAAAAACUAUAGAUGGCGGGGUAUAAAUAAACUACAUUUAAAACACUGUUUUAAUCAUACUUAUAGCUAUAUUUUGGAAUGUUAACUAUCACACUAGACUUCUAUCAAAGUUUAAAAAAGCUAAUACUAUCGACUACUUAAUGUUGCUGGUAGAUGUUAGGAAUUGAAAUAAAGGAAAUACUAGAGCAAGGAUAAUAAAGCGAAAAUGAAAACAGUUAAUGUAAACAUUUGUUGUAGAGUUACUGUCAAGAACAUGGUGCCCGGCUUAUUGAAAUUGAAACUAAAGAGCAACAAGACUCCUUGACAGAUUUGGCAAAACGUUUUUAUAGCAUCAGUAUUAUACAUAUCGUAACUGCCACUGUUACACAUAAUUCAAAAG
rnacentral:lncRNA from 1 species